rnacentral:rRNA from 1 species
CCCUUAGAUGUCCUGGGCUGCACGCGCGCUACACUGAUGUGUCCAGUAAGCACCUAACCUAUUCCGAGAGGAGCGGGUAACCUUAGCAAAGCACAUCGUGAUGGGGAUAGAUUAUUGCAAUUAUUAGUCUUGAACGAGGAAUUCCUAGUAAGCACAAGUCAUCAGCUUGUGUUGAUUACGUCCCUGCCCUUUGUACACACCGCCCGUCGCUCCUACCGAUUGAAUGUUCCGGUGAGCUCUUCGGACCGCGCGGUCUGCAGUUUCUGCGUUCCGUGCGGAAAGUUGUGCAAACCUUAACAUUUAGAGGAAGGAGAAGUCGUAACA